UUAAAUUGAAGAGUUUGAUCAUGGCUCAGAUUGAACGCUGGCGGCAGGCCUAACACAUGCAAGUCGAACGGUAACAGGAAGCAGCUUGCUGCUUUGCUGACGAGUGGCGGACGGGUGAGUAAUGUCUGGGAAACUGCCUGAUGGAGGGGGAUAACUACUGGAAACGGUGGCUAAUACCGCAUAACGUCGCAAGACCAAAGAGGGGGACCUUCGGGCCUCUUGCCAUCAGAUGUGCCCAGAUGGGAUUAGCUUGUUGGUGAGGUAACGGCUCACCAAGGCGACGAUCCCUAGCUGGUCUGAGAGGAUGACCAGCCACACUGGAACUGAGACACGGUCCAGACUCCUACGGGAGGCAGCAGUGGGGAAUAUUGCACAAUGGGCGCAAGCCUGAUGCAGCCAUGCCGCGUGUAUGAAGAAGGCCUUCGGGUUGUAAAGUACUUUCAGCGGGGAGGAAGGUGUUGUGGUUAAUAACCGCAGCAAUUGACGUUACCCGCAGAAGAAGCACCGGCUAACUCCGUGCCAGCAGCCGCGGUAAUACGGAGGGUGCAAGCGUUAAUCGGAAUUACUGGGCGUAAAGCGCACGCAGGCGGUCUGUCAAGUCGGAUGUGAAAUCCCCGGGCUCAACCUGGGAACUGCAUUCGAAACUGGCAGGCUUGAGUCUUGUAGAGGGGGGUAGAAUUCCAGGUGUAGCGGUGAAAUGCGUAGAGAUCUGGAGGAAUACCGGUGGCGAAGGCGGCCCCCUGGACAAAGACUGACGCUCAGGUGCGAAAGCGUGGGGAGCAAACAGGAUUAGAUACCCUGGUAGUCCACGCCGUAAACGAUGUCUACUUGGAGGUUGUGCCCUUGAGGCGUGGCUUCCGGAGCUAACGCGUUAAGUAGACCGCCUGGGGAGUACGGCCGCAAGGUUAAAACUCAAAUGAAUUGACGGGGGCCCGCACAAGCGGUGGAGCAUGUGGUUUAAUUCGAUGCAACGCGAAGAACCUUACCUGGUCUUGACAUCCACAGAACUUUCCAGAGAUGGAUUGGUGCCUUCGGGAACUGUGAGACAGGUGCUGCAUGGCUGUCGUCAGCUCGUGUUGUGAAAUGUUGGGUUAAGUCCCGCAACGAGCGCAACCCUUAUCCUUUGUUGCCAGCGGUCCGGCCGGGAACUCAAAGGAGACUGCCAGUGAUAAACUGGAGGAAGGUGGGGAUGACGUCAAGUCAUCAUGGCCCUUACGACCAGGGCUACACACGUGCUACAAUGGCGCAUACAAAGAGAAGCGACCUCGCGAGAGCAAGCGGACCUCAUAAAGUGCGUCGUAGUCCGGAUUGGAGUCUGCAACUCGACUCCAUGAAGUCGGAAUCGCUAGUAAUCGUGGAUCAGAAUGCCACGGUGAAUACGUUCCCGGGCCUUGUACACACCGCCCGUCACACCAUGGGAGUGGGUUGCAAAAGAAGUAGGUAGCUUAACCUUCGGGAGGGCGCUUACCACUUUGUGAUUCAUGACUGGGGUGAAGUCGUAACAAGGUAACCGUAGGGGAACCUGCGGUUGGAUCACCUCCUUACCUUAAAGAAGC
rnacentral:rRNA from 8 species